AUCCGACAAUUAAUAAUGAAAAUACAGAUCUGACGGUUUGGGAGAAUAUAACCAAGAAUUCAAGUGGACCAAGAGAGAAAGUUAAUAAUUAAUAUUUUUAUCUCCACCCUUCGUCUUCUUCUUCCCCUCUGAGUCUCUCUUUCUUUCUUUUCCUUCUUUCUUUCUUCUUUCCCUCUGUCGUUCUGCUGAUUUCUUCCUCCCCUUUGCAUCUUCCCCAAAUAAACCUCAAAAAACCUCCAUCCCCAGCCCAACAACCCAAAUCCCAAACCGAAUCCAGACGCCUGAGAUGACAUACAUGCACAGAUGAAUUCUGGGAGAUGAAUUCCGGCACCGCCGAUAUACCUGAUAUGACAUCGAAUACCAGUUCACCAGUUUUCCCCAAUAAAACCUCCAGUAAAACAGAGCUGCCAUCAGAUUACCAGUUUCUCCUUCUUAAACAUCUAAUUACAAAAGCUAGGAAAUACCGUGGAUGUAGCUUAGUUUCAGGCAGAAGCAACCGAUCGCUGAGUUAAACUCGGGCCGAAGACAACCAUUAUGAAGGCGGCUAAAACCGGG
rnacentral:lncRNA from 1 species